UACGGAGGGUGCAAGCGUUAUCCGGAUUCACUGGGUUUAAAGGGUGCGUAGGCGGGCAGAUAAGUCAGUGGUGAAAUCCCCGAGCUUAACUUGGGAACUGCCAUUGAUACUAUUUGUCUUGAAUGUCGUGGAGGUUAGCGGAAUAUGUCAUGUAGCGGUGAAAUGCUUAGAUAUGACAUAGAACACCAAUUGCGAAGGCAGCUCGUUACACGCAUAUUGACUCUGAGGCUCGAAAGCGUGGGGAUCAAACAGG
rnacentral:rRNA from 1 species